rnacentral:rRNA from 1 species
GGCCUUGACAUACUAAGAACUUUCCAGAGAUGGAUUGGUGCCUUCGGGAACUUAGAUACAGGUGCUGCAUGGCUGUCGUCAGCUCGUGUCGUGAGAUGUUGGGUUAAGUCCGCAACGAGCGCAACCCUUUUCCUAUUUGCCAGCGGGUAAUGCCGGGAACUUUAAGGAUACUGCCAGUGACAAACUGGAGGAAGGCGGGGACGACGUCAAGUCAUCAUGGCCCUUACGGCCAGGGCUACACACGUGCUACAAUGGUCGGUACAAAGGGUUGCUACCUCGCGAGAGGAUGCUAAUCUCAAAAAGCCGAUCGUAGUCCGGAUCGCAGUCUGCAACUCGACUGCGUGAAGUCGGAAUCGCUAGUAAUCGCGGAUCAGAAUGCCGCGGUGAAUACGUUCCCGGGCCUUGUACACACCGCCCGUCACACCAUGGGAGUUUGUUGCACCAGAAGUAGGUAGUCUAACCGCAAGGAGGACGCUUACCACGGUGUGGCCGAUGACUGGGGUGAAGUCGUAACAAGGUAAGCGUAGAUGA